rnacentral:rRNA from 1 species
UACGUAGGGUGCGAGCGUUAAUCGGAAUUACUGGGCGUAAAGCGUGCGCAGGCGGUUCGUUGUGUCGGCGGUGAAAGCCCCGGGCUCAACCUGGGAAUGGCCGUUGAAACUGGCGAACUGGAGUGUGGCAGAGGGGGGUGGAAUUCCGCGUGUAGCAGUGAAAAGCGUAGAUAUGCGGAGGAACACCGAUGGCGAAGGCAAUCCCCUGGGCCUGCACUGACGCUCAUGCACGAAAGCGUGGGGAGCAAACAGG